rnacentral:rRNA from 3 species
AAGCGUGUAGGUGUGUGUUCCAGGUAAAUCCGGUUCACUUUAACACUGAGGCGUGAUGACGAGGCACUACGGUGCUGAAGCAACAAAUGCCCUGCUUCCAGGAAAAGCCUCUAAGCAUCAGGUAACAUCAAAUCGUACCCCAAACCGACACAGGUGGUCAGGUAGAGAAUACCAAGGCGCUUGAGAGAACUCGGGUGAAGGAACUAGGCAAAAUGGUGCCGUAACUUCGGGAGAAGGCACGCUGACACGUAGGUGA